GGCAUUGAAAAACAACAAUUGAAUUUAGUGUGAUUGAAGCGAACUUCCAAUUUAUAGGAUCUUAAUUUUCGUUUUUUUUUUGUUUUUUUAACAGUGUGCUGGUCAAUUUGCCACAAUUAUAAUGAUAAUGAACCUGCGUGACUGUCCCACCCGAAAUACUCAGCAGACUGAAUCGUAACCCGCCCAAAAUCUUUAGGUAGCGAACUUCAAUUCGUCAAUUUUAACGGGAACCGCAUCACUCACAUAAACGAAAUGCCGAAGCGCGAUUCUGAUUCCGAAUCUGAAGAUGCGAAUGACAGUUCAAGCUCCGAGGAGGCUGAAGCUGCCACCCAUGGCCAACAUCAAGGCGUUUCUGAGUAUGAGAAACAAAGGCUAUCAAGAAUUGCGGAGAACAGAGCAAGGUUGGAGGCUCUAGGGUUGCCCAAAAUGGCGUCCUCUUUAAAGCGUUCUAGUCAGAGUGUUAUCGACAAGAAGAGGAAAAAGAAGGUUGGAGACGAUGAAGAAUACGUGCCUGAUGAUGCGGAAGUGAUAUUAAGUUCUUCGAGUGGAGAGGAUGGGCAUGACGACGACGACGACGACGACGACGAUGAGGAUUUUGUCAGUAAAAAAGCUUCCCAGUCACGGAAAAGGAAGGUGAAGAAAAAAGGUUCAAUGCCAAAACCUCAAGUUUCUAGGGAGGACCCUUGCAAUAAUUCACAUCACAUUGAUGAUGAUGAUGAUAAAGCUUUGAGGCAGGCAAUUGCUCUUUCACUGCAAGACUCUGCUGAAGGCUCAUGUUUUUCUGAAAAGCAUGUAGUGAAUACUACACUUGUGGAUACAAUGGGAAAGAAUCACAUUCAAGAAGACAAGGGGAGAAGGAAGAACAAAAAAUCAUUUAAUAGUCGGCUGCAAAUGACUGAGGAUGAAGUCAUUGUACACUUCUUCCAGAUUGAUGAAACUGGCAAAGGGAGUAUAACAAUGAGGGAUUUACAAAGAGUUGCUGCAGAUCAUGAUUUUGUGUGGACAGACAAAGAGUUAUGUGACAUGAUCCACUGCUUUGAUAAUGAUAACGAUGGAAAGUACCCACUCCCUAGAGAGUAGAGAUCCUUGCUCUCAAGUGUCAAGUACAGAAAAUCCUUGGAAAACUCAAUUGCAAUCUUAAAGAUGACCUCAAAAUUGAAUAUUGCUAUCUCUAAAGGUGUUUCUUGGCCUAUUUGAAGUGAAAGCAUAUGAGAUUGGCCCAUAUUCACUUGGAUCCACUAAACACUUAGUUAUUGGGCCUUUAAUGCCUGACCCAAUAUAGAUUCUGGCUAUCUUCCUCCUUCUUCCUGGACUUAAGAACAUCAUACCAUCACCACCAUAGUAUUAGUAACCAACCCACGUGAGCUUGGUAAGCCUUUGACUUUUAAACACCUAAAACACGCACCCACAUGAGCCUAGGGAACUUCUUUCUCCUUCUUGAAGCUCAAACAUACUCCCCACUUUGCAAAGACCUCCGGCUAAGCAAAUGAAAUGAAGACAAAUGACAAAUAGACAACAAUGACUGAGACAGAGAUGGCAGCAGAAAAACAGACGUUGGUGAAGCAAAUGCAGAGGAGAGUCACAUGGUAGCUGAAGAAUAGAAGCAGACAACAAUGAUGCCUUUGGAGGUAUAAAACAUACUGCAAUAGGGAAACUAGAGAAGACAGCAGUGAUGACGGCAUCCACCUAAUCUUCAGCUUCCCUCAGGCACCCCACCCAUCCAUCUGAGCUGGGCUUGCAAAUGAAGCUAAGCCUAGAUGAUUUCCGGAAGAUAGUUGUUCGCUGCAACAUGAUCAAAGGGUCAGAAAAUUCUUGAUGGAAUGAAGGUUAGGAUAGUACAGUAGGUAAGGCCAAUAUUUAGGGCAUUUAUCAUAGGAUGUUAUCAUAAUGUUUUAUUCUUUAUAAUGCUUUACUAAAUAGAUACUAAUAUGGAACAAAUAGACAUUAUGUGUUUUGGAGUUUGGCCAUAUCAGUAACAUGUUUAAUUACUUAGUGUGCUAUGAUGCUAUCUAAUUGACAUGGCUUUCAAGCGUGAUAAUUUUUCAGUUAUGUAUGUAUAUAUAAUUAUAUGUUAGUAUA